rnacentral:rRNA from 1 species
UUUCGGGGCUUUCUACAAGGUGCUGCAUGGUUGUCGUCAGCUCGUGCCGUGAGGUGUCGGGUUAAGUCCCAUAACGAGCGCAACCCUUUAUCGUUAGUUGCCAUCUGGUAAAGCAGGGGACUCUAGCGAAACUGCCACCGUAAGGUGAGAGGAAGGUGGGGAUGACGUCAAAUCAGCACGGCCCUUAUGUCCAGGGCUACACACGUGUUACAAUGGUCGGUACAGAGGGCAGCUACCUGGUGACAGGAUGCUAAUCUCGAAAACCGGCCUCAGUUCGGAUCGAAGUCUGCAACUCGACUUCGUGAAGCUGGAUUCGCUAGUAAUCGCGCAUCAGCCAUGGCGCGGUGAAUACGUUCCCGGGCCUU